UAGUUGGAUUCAUUUCUGUUGCACCACAAUGGGAAUUCCCCUACUGUACUUUCUAUCACUUAUAUUGUAUGCAUUUUAGGUCUUGUUUCCUGGUGAUUUGCAGUUCUGGCUCUCUCCCUGUGUCUCUAAUUCUUGUCUUCAUUUAUUCCUUCCUUCACAAGCAUCUCUGGAACACUUGUGCCACAAGCAUCUCUGGAACACUUGUGAGUGGCACAAGGCUCACCAUCAAAGGGCUCAGCAAAAUGAAUGACUGACCAGCAAGGCACCGGCCCCUGAAGGGAGAAGGAUGAUCUCUGCCUUCAUGCCUUCCAAGUGCUCAUGGUCUCAAGAAACUCAUGUGGGCACAUAAUGGUAAAGCAACAUGGCAGGAUUACAUUGGAAACAGCCACAGAAAUAUCAUGCUAUGCCUAACCCUGCCUGGCCUUUGGGGAAGGCUUUGCAGUGGCUGAGGCUGGAAAUAUCAAAAGGGAGGGCACUCCAGACCAAAGACCGACAUGGGUAAAGGCAAUGAAGCAAGAAUUUGCAAGAUCCGCUGAGGGCAAGGAUGGGGCCCCCAAGUCAGGGCAUCCUCCACUGUCAGUGACUCUCAAGGCCACACAUGGGGGCAUAUAGAAGCUGGG